rnacentral:rRNA from 1 species
UACGUAGGGUGCAAGCGUUGUCCGGAAUUAUUGGGCGUAAAGAGCUCGUAGGCGGUGUGUCGCGUCGGCCGUGAAAACCUGCAGCUUAACUGUGGGCUUGCGGUCGAUACGGGCAUCACUGGAGUUCGGCAGGGGAGACUGGAAUUCCUGGUGUAGCGGUGAAAUGCGCAGAUAUCAGGAGGAACACCGGUGGCGAAGGCGGGUCUCUGGGCAACUACUGACGCUGAGGAGCGAAAGCGUGGGGAGCGAACAGG